UAGCGUAUAUUUAAGUUGUUGCAGUUAAAAAGCUCGUAGUUGGAUUUCGGAUGUGAACGACCGGUCCGCCGUUGCGGUGUGUACUGGACGUUUGUAUCUUGUUGUCGGGGACGCGCACCUUGCCUUAAGUGGUCGGGACGCGGAGUCGGCGCUGUUACUUUGAAAAAAUUAGAGUGUUCAAAGCAGGCAACCGCUCUGAAUACAUUAGCAUGGAAUAACGCUAUAGGACUCUGGUCUUAUUGUGUUGGUCUUCGAGACCGGAGUAAUGAUUAAGAGGGACAGUUGGGGGCAUUCGUAUUUCAUUGUCAGAGGUGAAAUUCUUGGAUUUAUGAAAGACGAACUUCUGCGAAAGCAUUUGCCAAGGAUGUUUUCAUUAAUCAAGAACGAAAGUUGGGGGCUCGAAGACGAUCAGAUACCGUCCUAGUCUCAACCAUAAACGAUGCCGACUAGGGAUUGGCGGAUGUUAAAUCGAUGACUUCGCCAGCACCUUAUGAGAAAUCAAAGUUUUUGGGUUCCGGGGGGAGUAUGGUCGCAAGGCUGAAACUUAAAG
rnacentral:rRNA from 1 species